rnacentral:tRNA from 1 species
AAAACAUAGUAUAAUUUAAUACAUCUCAUUUACACUGAGAAUAUACUUAAUUUGAUAAGUUGUUUUAC